GACGAACGCUGGCGGCGUGCCUAAUACAUGCAAGUUGAGCGCUGAAGGUUGGUACUUGUACCAACUGGAUGAGCAGCGAACGGGUGAGUAACGCGUGGGGAAUCUGCCUUUGAGCGGGGGACAACAUUUGGAAACGAAUGCUAAUACCGCAUAAAAACUUUAAACACAAGUUUUAAGUUUGAAGGAUGCAAUUGCAUCACUCAAAGAUGAUCCCGCGUUGUAUUAGCUAGUUGGUGAGGUAAAGGCUCACCAAGGCGAUGAUACAUAGCCGACCUGAGAGGGUGAUCGGCCACUGGGACUGAGACACGGCCCAAACUCCUACGGGAGGCAGCAGUAGGGAAUCUUCGGCAAUGGACGAAAGUCUGACCGAGCAACGCCGCGUGAGUGAAGAAGGUUUUCGGAUCGUAAAACUCUGUUGGUAGAGAAGAACGUUGGUGAGAGUGGAAAGCUCAUCAAGUGACGGUAACUACCCAGAAAGGGACGGCUAACUACGUG
rnacentral:rRNA from 1 species